rnacentral:rRNA from 1 species
CAGUAGCCGCGGUAAUACGUAGGGUGCAAGCGUUAAUCGGAAUUACUGGGCGUAAAGCGCACGUAGGCGGAUAUUUAAGUCAGGGGUGAAAUCCCAGAGCUAACUCUGGAACUGCCUUUGAUACUGGGUAUCUUGAGUAUGGAAGAGGUGAGUGGAAUUCCGAGUGUAGAGGUGAAAUUCGUAGAUAUUCGGAGGAACACCAGUGGCGAAGGCGGCUCACUGGUCCAUUACUGACGCUGAGGUGCGAAAGCGUGGGGAGCAAACAGGAUUAGAUACCCCCGUAGUCCCUGUCUCUUAUACA